AGAUGCCCACGUGAUCCUGGCCUGCAGUUGGGUGGCUGCGGUGAGAUACCUGGGUUCCUGAAGGGCGGGUGGUUAGGUCGUAACUACUGCCCCCGCCGGCUGACUCUCCGAGCGGCCGGGCUCGGAAGCCACGAGCCAGCUGAGGCGUUCUCCGCUUAGUGCCUACGGCAUGGGUCAGCUCUUUCUGCCACCUCCGCCUUCGCGGUCCUCACCUCUUUGCGGGUGAAGUUACCUUUGGGUUUCCAGACCUUGGGGGCCUGAGGCCCAAACUCGGGACGAACCCCUAACCCACCUCUCUUUUCCUGUCAUUCUCCAACUCUUACUUUGUACCACGGAAUCACUUGGCCUUAAAGCUAGCCAGCUCGGCCGUGCCUUGAGGCCAGGUUCGAGAGAUAAAGGUAACCGUGGGGAAAGCGGCCCCCCAGUGGACAAAGGCGGAGGCAAGAAUAGAGCAGGCCUGAGGGCCAUAGGCGAUGAGAAUAGGCAGUUGAGGGGUGAAAAAGAAAACAAACAAACAACAACAACAAACCCUGAAGAGUACUGAAGAUUUAGAAGGGACUGGAAAGGACUUGUUGCGCAAUGGAAGAAUCUGACUCUGAGAAAACGACGGAGAAAGAAAAUCUGGGGCCGAGAAUGGAUCCACCACUAGGGGAACCGGAAGGAUCGCUUGGGUGGGUGCUACCAAAUACAGCCAUGAAGAAAAAGGUGCUGUUGAUGGGUAAAAGUGGGUCUGGUAAGACCAGCAUGAGGUCUAUUAUCUUUGCAAAUUAUAUUGCCAGAGACACACGUCGCCUUGGCGCAACAAUACUAGACCGUAUACAUAGUCUUCAAAUUAAUAGCAGUUUGAGCACCUACUCUCUCGUAGACUCUGUUGGAAAUACAAAGACAUUUGAUGUAGAACAUUCUCAUGUUCGAUUUCUGGGAAACCUGGUAUUGAACCUGUGGGAUUGUGGUGGGCAAGACACCUUCAUGGAAAAUUAUUUCACUAGCCAACGGGACAACAUCUUCCGAAAUGUGGAGGUUCUGAUUUAUGUCUUUGAUGUGGAGAGCCGCGAACUGGAAAAGGACAUGCACUAUUACCAAUCAUGCCUGGAGGCCAUUCUGCAGAAUUCUCCAGAUGCCAAAAUAUUUUGCUUGGUACACAAAAUGGAUCUGGUACAGGAGGAUCAACGGGACCUGAUUUUUAAAGAGCGAGAAGAAGAUUUGAGGCGUUUGUCUCGCCCAUUGGAAUGUUCUUGUUUCCGAACAUCUAUCUGGGAUGAAACCCUCUAUAAGCCUUAUUCCCAUAGAACAGGUAACCGUGAAUAAGGAUGGACAUGACGCACUGAUAAGAACCAACUGCGGUGUGAAGGAUGGCAAUACAUAACACGACCAAAGACAAUUGGCUAAUCACAACACUGCUGUGAGUGACAAUGUCUCUGCUGUGGUUAGCUUUGGUGCCUUCUCCAAGGCUUGGUCCAGCAUAGUUUAUCAGCUGAUUCCCAAUGUUCAGCAGCUGGAAAUGAACCUAAGGAAUUUUGCUGAAAUUAUCGAAGCUGAUGAAGUACUUCUUUUUGAGAGAGCUACUUUUCUGACCAAGUUUAGAUGUGACUGAACAUUUUCACUGAGCGGGGUGAAGUCAAGCAAGGGGGAUUUGUUCUUCCACUGGUAUAGAAAUUAUGUUUUGAAAUUUUCACAUUGUCUCAUGGAAUUUCCCUGUGAGUUUUCUUCUGGUAAUUUCUCACUAUCAGUGUAAAGAGCAGCGUGAUGCCCAUAGAUUUGAGAAAAUAAGCAACAUUAUUAAGCAGUUCAAGCUGAGCUGCAGCAAGCUGGCUGCCUCUUUCCAGAGUAUGGAAGUCAGGAACUCUAACUUCGCUGCUUUCAUUGACAUCUUUACAUCCAACACUUAUGUGAUGGUUGUGAUGUCUGAUCCGUCCAUUCCUUCUGCAGCUACUCUGAUCAACAUCCGCAAUGCCAGGAAACACUUUGAAAAGCUGGAAAGAGUGGAUGGACCAAAGCAGUGUCUUCUCAUGCGCUAAACAUUGAUGAAUAUUGUUUCACACAAAAAUUAAAAGUUUCCUAAUUAAUGUUGUAUUCAUAUAUGUAGGCUCUGAAAUGUUGUGAUGCUUAUUGCUUCUGUAUUUCUUCUCUACUCCCUAGUCUUAAUGUUUAACCUUGAAUGCUAUUAACUUAAAUAGCCAUUGAGGAGUUAGAAGAUGAAUUGUUCAUGAAGUCGGUGUUACAUAAAAGUAGGUGAUAUGUAAGUUUUCUGAUAACAAGGUUCUAAUAGUGUUUAAAUGUACUGGUAACCUGGUUCCAAUAGUUGUGUUUGCCCAAGCCUUUCUCGGCAUCAUCUUGUAUUCCUUAUCAGAUAGUAAGUAACCUGUAAGUUUGGAGUAUUACUGUUUUCUCAGCAUGCAUUAAAAAUAUUCCUUAACUUCAAUUGUAAAUAAACUUUUGGUGUUAGGGA